rnacentral:rRNA from 1 species
AUACGGAGGAUCCGAGCGUUAUCCGGAUUUAUUGGGUUUAAAGGGAGCGUAGGUGGAUUGUUAAGUCAGUUGUGAAAGUUUGCGGCUCAACCGUAAAAUUGCAGUUGAAACUGGCAGUCUUGAGUACAGUAGAGGUGGGCGGAAUUCGUGGUGUAGCGGUGAAAUGCUUAGAUAUCACGAAGAACUCCGAUUGCGAAGGCAGCUCACUAGACUGUCACUGACACUGAUGCUCGAAAGUGUGGGUAUCAAACAGGAUUAGAUACCCUGGUAGUCCACACAGUAAACGAUGAAUACUCGCUGUUUGCGAUAUACAGUAAGCGGCCAAGCGAAAGCAUUAAGUAUUCCACCUGGGGAGUACGCCGGCAACGGUGAAACUCAAAGGAAUUGACGGGG